rnacentral:miRNA from 17 species
ACCAUCGACCGUUGGUUGUACC